rnacentral:lncRNA from 1 species
AGUCUUAUUGAUAUGAAUGGAACAUAUUUUCUUGGAAGAUGUUUUGGAUUUCAAGUACAAGGGGGUUUAGAUCUCAAAUAAUUUUGUUUCAUUUUUUUCUGUGACCCUUCACCACACUGUAUUUGAACCAAACAUUCAAACAAAACAAGUUGGUUUUUCCUUAUAUAUAUCCUAUUUGACUCACACCACCACCACAAAACAUGAAGGGAGACAGGAGUAUAUAUAUAGAUGAUCCAUAUAUAUAUGUUUUAUCUUUAUUCUACAGCUACAGGCUGUCAAAUCCACAGUGUUCAGCUUUGCAGCUUUGCCUGGAAGCAAGAUGCCCUGACACAACCUUGAAGUAUGUUCUCUAAAUACUUCUAUCAAAAUUAUGAACUUGCAAGAACUUUCCUGCAGAAACAAAGGAUUGCAGCGAAUGGAAUCAGUAGCUGGAGAAACUGGAUCAUAGUCUUCUGUCUGCAGUGGCUCCUGGCAAAGACCUUUCUUUUAAAUCCCUGAGGCGAUCAAAGUUUCUUCCAGUAGGAGAAUGCCUCUGGAGUGGAAGGAUCAGACAACAGGUGGUGUUGUUUGCAAGGAGACUCCCAAAUAUAUUCCCAUUCUCCAAAAGUACCAACAUGAGGUGAUAUGAACAUCAUUGUAUGAUGUUGAUUAUAUGACUUUUUCAAUAGUCUGCAAGUGUCAACCAAUAACAAAAGGACCCUUGUCAGGGCCAAAGCUAACAUUAAUCUUUAUUAAUAUAAAGCGGUUGUUAACACCAAAAGAGCUACUGCAUUAACUUUGUCAGACAUACAAUUGUAAUAUAUUUUGUAUUCAAGGAAUAUGUA